AUUGAACGCUGGCGGCAGGCCUAACACAUGCAAGUCGAGCGGAUGAAGGGAGCUUGCUCCUGGAUUCAGCGGCGGACGGGUGAGUAAUGCCUAGGAAUCUGCCUGGUAGUGGGGGAUAACGUCCGGAAACGGGCGCUAAUACCGCAUACGUCCUGAGGGAGAAAGUGGGGGAUCUUCGGACCUCACGCUAUCAGAUGAGCCUAGGUCGGACUAGCUAGUUGGUGGGGUAAAGGCCUACCAAGGCGACGAUCCGUAACUGGUCUGAGAGGAUGAUCAGUCACACUGGAACUGAGACACGGUCCAGACUCCUACGGGAGGCAGCAGUGGGGAAUAUUGGACAAUGGGCGAAAGCCUGAUCCAGCCAUGCCGCGUGUGUGAAGAAGGUCUUCGGAUUGUAAAGCACUUUAAGUUGGGAGGAAGGGCAGUAAGUUAAUACCUUGCUGUUUUGACGUUACCAACAGGAUAAGCACCGGCUAACUUCGUG
rnacentral:rRNA from 1 species